rnacentral:sRNA from 1 species
CAUCGAUGUUCGUGUCCGUUGGUAAGCA